UUCUUCUUACUCACUUGCUUACUCACAUGCUUCUUUCUCUCUCAGUCCUUCUCUGUGUAGAAGUGUGCUGGGAGAUCUUUGGAAGCCCUUUAGCCCUGUUAAAAGCACCUUUUAAAUAUUUGAAGAGGAAGAAGUACAAACUAAGAAGUAACAGCAGCAGCUCUUCAAGUUGGUGGCUGUUAGAGCAGAAGACGCAAAGUUUGCAUGGCAGAGGAGAGCACCCUCCUGCAGCGGGGUCAGCUGGAUGUGGGACCUUGGCUGAGAGCGUGGAGGAAAUAGUGUGUCAGCCACCACGUGCCUUCCCAGUUGGGGUCAUAAUUUUCCCCGAGUGUGCUGCAGAAGUGAGAUCUCACCUCUUCCUGUUGUCAGAGCCUGUGCUGGUUUAUCAAGAAACUCCAGUGAGCUGCACAGGUACAUAGGCCAUGAACUCAAAUAAGCUUACUCCCGAGUUGCAUGAGGGAGCUGCAGUUCUCACCUGCUGCUUGGUGCCCGGGGCCACUGCUGAGGAGGACGGGAGGACUGCUGGCAGCGGGCCCAACACUGUGCCAAAUGGACAGAGCCACCUGUGUCUGUGUCACCGUGCCUGUGUCCAAGCCAAACAGCCACUUCCUGGAGUCCCCGCUUACACAGGAAUGUCACUAUGCGUCAUUGCUUGGAGUGGAAAUGGGAUAAUGGUGCUGAGAGAGAGCGUAGGCCGCGGCCAGCCCAGCUGUAGGCAUUUCUGCUGUGAACUCAUGACAGCACACGGCUCUUUCCUGCAGUUGACAGCAGGAGGGAAGAGAGAACCUUUCCCAGGAAAUCAGCCUGUCCGAGCCAAGCACUGCGUGUCCUGGGAAGCCUGGACAGACACAUUGCACUGCUGGUGUGGCCCCAGAGCUCCCCAGCUGCACAAUUCAGAAAGUUUUCUUAGCUUUCCCCCUGCCGUCAAACAACUCCUGAUUUCCCAAACUUCUCAUUCCUUUCCCAAGCACCAGCUAAAAUUUGCUCCGCUGAAGCUUGGCCACUAAGAAAAUAGAGAUGAAGAUACGAUAGUCAAUAUAAAAUGGCCAAUUUUUACAGAAGUGUGCUGCAGAUUGGGCAGCGGUCGUAUUUGUUCCUCCUUUUACAUUUUUCCCUUUGGCUGCACAUGCAUUUCCUGUGUUGUGCAGUUCACAUUCCUGCAGUUUUGGGCAGCCUAAAUCACUCAGCACGGGGCUGAGGCUGCACUCAGUGGUGAGGAUGCUCUCCUGGCUUCUGCCUAACCCAGCAUGUAGGUAGGGAGAAGUAAUGGUGAGGCUCAUCGGAGAAGCUGAUGAGUCUUUUCAUUGAAGAUCACCUCUGCUGCAAGUGUUAAUGAGCUAUGCUGACUCUGGGGGGAGGGAAAAGAUUUUGAGAUAAUUCUGCUGUCGCCCUGUUCACUUGCAUGUAUGAAUGGAGAUGCCUCUGCCUUCUCCCUUCUUCUAAAC